rnacentral:tRNA from 1 species
AGCCCCGUAGUGUAGCGGUCAAUCAUCCCGGCCUUUGGAGCCGGGGACGGCAGUUCGAAUCUGCCCGGGGCUACCA